AUGGCUUCGACGGAUUCGUUAUUAACUUUCUAUAAUUCAAUACUUCUUUUCUUUUUUUUUUGCUCUCUCCUUUUUUUUUGUUCGUAUAUAUAAAACGUCAAACUUAUGAUAUUAUUUAUAUUUAGAGAAUGCUAUUAAUUUUGUGAAGAUGAAAUGAAAUAAGAUUAAAGAAAUAAAAAAAGGAAUACAAAUUGUGUGCGUGCGUGCGUGAGUAUAACUUUAAAGUUGCAUGACGUUGCUGAGGAUUGAGAAAAAAGAUUUUAUUUUAUUUAUGAAAUUUAUUUCUAAAUAUAUCUGCACAUAUAUAUAUAUAUAUAUAUAUGUAUAAGAUAUAUAUAUAUAUAUAUAUAUAUAUAUACACAUGAUAUAUAAAUGUGACCUUAAAAUUACGUGAGAUCAACGAGGUAUAACGGAGAAAAAAAUCAAGAUUUUAUUUUACCCAUACAAUUUAUUUCUAUAAACGUAUCUACGUAGAAAUCUAUAUAGAAAUAUAUAAAAGCAACUUUAAAAUGGCGUGACAUUAAUGAGAUUUAAGAAAAAAAUAUUCAAAUUUUAUUCCAUCCGUCAAAUUUACUUUCGUUAUUAAUUAUGUUUAUUAGCAGUAUUGUUUUUAUUAACAAUCAAUAGUAGCUAUUGAAAGUUAUAUAUUGCAUCUUAUUUCUUUUUUUCUUUUUUUUUUUUAUUUACCUUUUACUUCUUUCUUUCUUUCUUUUUUUUUCUAUUUUGUUUCGUUUUGUUUUUUUUGUUUUUUUCACAAAUAAUAUAUCAACAAAACUUAAAUUAUCACGAUCCUAUUCUAUAUCUACUUUCAUUCUUUUUCUUUUUUCAUUUAUAUUUUUCUUUUCUAUUGCAUGUAGACGAAUAGGAUACGAUCGAUCAUUCGUAUCUAGAUAUGUCGAUAACAGAAGAAACUUUGCAAUUCUUCGUACGUUUAAAGUUAAUUCACAAUAGUACGGAUAAAUCGAAUUUGAGGGUGGCCCAACUACCGAGAAACUUUGUCCGUAGAACGCGAUUAGAGAUAUUCAUUCGGAUGUAUGUAUGAAUAUAUCUACAAAUAUCAUAGCGCAUUUUAACCUAAUCGUGUGUUCCGCGAGGGCGUUAUACGAAUACCGAGCGUGAGUACCGACAAUACCGAGAUACUACGAGGAUUCUCUUACUAUGUACAUGAAACACCAUAUGUACAUAUAUAUAUAUAUACAUAUACAAAUAUACAUAUAUAUAUAAAUACAUACAUAUAUAUAUAUAUAUAUAUAUAUAUAUGCAUAUGAAUCUGGAUAUACACACGUGCGAGCUAAGGAUAAGUGAAAAUUCCUGUGCUGAUGAGAAGAAUAAAAUAAAAUGAAAUAAAGGAUCGGGAUAAUAAUUUAAAUUGACUCUCUCUCUCUCUCCCUCUCUCUCUUUCUCUCUUUCUCUAUCUCUCUCUUACACGAUGAAAAAAUUUUAUAAAAAACUCGUGCGUUCGUAGGCCCGCAAUUCUUUUUCCUUUCUUUUUCUUUUUUCUUUCAACAAACGAUCCUACGUUAAAAAGCAUACGAGUUAAUAUUCAUCGAUAUCUUAUCGUAAUCAUAUCGAAAAUGAUAAAUAGAGAUAAUAAGAACAAAGAAAACAAAAGAGAGAGAGAGAGAGAGAGAGAGAGAGAGAGAGAGAAAAUUACCAACAAAAUGUCAUACUAGCAUCGCUUAAAUGAAUAAAAUGUAAGUCUUAAGAAAGUCGUCCAAGUUCGAUGGUUCCCCACCGAGAUGAGUCUAUUAAUGUUUAUCCCCUCUCCCCUUUCUCAUUCCCUCUCUCUCUUUCUCUCUUUUUCUCUCUAUCUCUCUUCUAUUAUCCUCUUCUUUCAUCCGUCCUUUGUUUUCUCCUUUUUUUUUUUUUUUUUUUUUUUUUUUUUUUAAUUAAGAGAAGAGAAUGGGCCGGCACUCGCCAAGAGAUGGCGAUCUCGAUCUGACGAAAGCCGUUUCGCGAUUGGUCUAAGAUACUUGGCCAAAAUCACUCGCGCUAUUCGUUGUCUUUCCUCAUCGUGGAGCUCGAGAACCGAUCAGCUUUCCUUCUCCUCUCUCUCUCUCUCUCUCUCUCUUUUCGAACCCUCUAAGGUAUCUAAACAUAGCUUGAUCAGUUACAUUCGUUUACUCUCUUUUCUCUCCCUCCGUAAAUUUUCGCAUCUCUUCUUCAUUUUCUUUCUCUCUCUCUCUCUCUCUGUCUCUCUCUCUUUCUCUCUUUCUCUUUCUGUCGACUCCUCCUCCUUCUCUUUUUCCUUCUCCUCCCUCUUCUUCCCUUUCUCUACCUUUUUCACGUCGUACGGACAAGGAGAUACGGAGGAGAAGCUUACGUACUCUUCGUUCUCGCGUAUCGUCGCGAUCGUUCGUAGAUCAUCCAAUCUUCCAACGACUUUCAAAGCGUCGUCGCCUGGAAGACGGGCUAAGAUACUCUGCUAGGGUGUUCCUGCCGCUUGUUGACCGAGUGUCUUCAAGCUGGAGCUGGCAAAGAGGGCUUUCGGUUUGAGGGGGUGAGUAGCACUUCUUCUUUUUUUUUCUUCUUAUACUUAUUCUUCUUCCUCCUCCUCCUCCUCUUUUUUUUCUUCUUCGUCCCCUUCCUCUUAUUCUCCUUUUUCCUUCCUUCUCUAUCUACAACUCUUCAGACUUUUCUCUCUCUCUCUCUCUGUUUCUCUCUCUUUCUCUUUCACUUUUUUCUCUACAAUGAUCGCAUUUCUGUCUUAUACGAGGUACUUAUCUUUGGGAAGUAUCUUUCUAUGUAUGUGUGUAUGUGAAAGAUGGAGAGAGAGAGAGAGGGAGAGAGAGAGAGAGAGAGA